rnacentral:lncRNA from 1 species
GAGCAGAGUAUACCGCAGACAUCAUUUCUACUACAGUGGCGGAGCCGUACAGGACCUGUUUCACUGCAGGGGGAUCCAAAACAAGCCCCGUGGAGCAGCAGCCAGAGCAACAGCAGCCGCAAGACAUUGUUUCUCUCCCUCUGCCCCCCCUUCCCCACGCAACCCCAGAUCCAUUUACACUUUACAGAGCAUCGUGCAUCAAGUCACCAGGGUGGUCCAUUCAAGCUGCAGAUUUAUUUGUCAUCCUUGUACAACAGUCUCCUCCUCCACUGCCACUACAGGGAAGUGCAUCACAUGUCAGCAUACUGGAGCAUAGUGGAAGAGUCUAUUUUGAAGCUUCAAACGUAGUGCUGCUGCAGACCAGGAACAAGAGAGAAAGAGUGGAUUUCAGCCUGCACGGAUGGUCUUGA